AUUUUGGUGAUAAGGGUGGAGCCCCUGCUGAUUACAGACCUUCAUUCGGGGGUCCUGGUGGAAGGCCUGGAUUUGGCCGUGGAGCUGGUGGCUAUGGUGGAGCACCUGCACCAUCAAAUCUUGAAUGAGAGAAUGUCAUAGAUGUAUGGGAGUGUUUUUGUUAGUUUUAGUUUCUAAGCAAAUUGAAUCGAAGAUGUUGAAUUAAACUCUUGAGAUCGUAUCAGUUUUGUUUGCCUAUAAUUAAUUGUCGGAUCUUUGGCUGCUGAAGUCUGUUUGAUGUCUCCUAUUGCAGAUUUCUUUAAUACUGUUCACACUUGUUUUAGAUUAUGAAUUCA
rnacentral:misc_RNA from 1 species